UACGGAGGGUGCAAGCGUUAUCCGGAUUCACUGGGUUUAAAGGGUGCGUAGGCGGGCAGGUAAGUCAGUGGUGAAAUCUCCGAGCUUAACUUGGAAACUGCCGUUGAUACUAUCUGCCUUGAAUAUUGUGGAGGUGAGCGGAAUAUGUCAUGUAGCGGUGAAAUGCUUAGAUAUGACAUAGAACACCAAUUGCGAAGGCAGCUCGCUACACAUAUAUUGACUCUGAGGCACGAAAGCGUGGGGAUCAAACAGG
rnacentral:rRNA from 1 species